rnacentral:rRNA from 1 species
UAGGGAACCUUCCACAAUGGACGCAAGUCUGAUGGAGCAACGCCGCGUGAGUGAAGAAGGUUUUCGGACCGUAAAGCUCUGUUGUUGGUGAAGAAGGAUAGAGGUAGUAACUGGCCUUUAUUUGACGGUAAUCAACCAGAAAGUCACGGCUAACUACGUGCCAGCAGCCGCGGUAAUACGUAGGUGGCAAGCGUUGUCCGGAUUUAUUGGGCGUAAAGCGAGCGCAGGCGGAAGAAUAAGUCUGAUGUGAAAGCCCUCGGCUUAACCGAGGAAUUGCAUCGGAAACUGUUUUCUUGAGUGCAGAAGAGGAGAGUAGAACUCCAUGUGUAGCGGUGGAAUGCGUAGAUAUAUGGAAGAAUACCAGUGGCGAAGGCGGCUCUCUGGUCUGCAACUGACGCUGAGGCUCGAAAGCAUGGGUAGCGAACAGGAUUAGAUACCCUGGUAGUCCAUGCCGUAAACGAUGAGUGCUAAGUGUUGGGAGGCUUCCGCCUCUCAGUGCUGCAGCUAACGCAUUAAGCACUCCGCCUGGGGGAGUACGACCGCAAGGUUGAAAC